rnacentral:rRNA from 1 species
CAGUCGCCACGGUAAUACGUAGGGUGCAAGCGUUAAUCGGAAUUACUGGGCGUAAAGCGUGCGCAGGCGGCUUCUUAAGUCGGAUGUGAAAUCCCUGAGCUUAACUUAGGAAUUGCAUUCGAUACUGGGAAGCUAGAGUAUGGGAGAGGAUGGUAGAAUUCCAGUUGUAGCGGUGAAAUGCGUAGAGAUCUGGAGGAAUACCGAUGGCGAAGGCAGCCAUCUGGCCUAAUACUGACGCUGAGGUACGAAAGCAUGGGGAGCAAACAGGAUUAGAUACCCGUGUAGUCCCUGUCUCUUAUAU